UAACGUAGACGAAAGUUACGCUAAUACCGCAUAUUCUGUGAGCAGGAAAGCAGGGGAUCGCAAGACCUUGCGCUGAUUGAGCGGCCGAUAUCAGAUUAGCUAGUUGGUGAGGUAAAGGCUCACCAAGGCGACGAUCUGUAGCGGGUCUGAGAGGAUGAUCCGCCACACUGGAACUGAGACACGGUCCAGACUCCUACGGGAGGCAGCAGUGGGGAAUUUUGGACAAUGGGCGCAAGCCUGAUCCAGCCAUGCCGCGUGAGUGAAGAAGGCCUUCGGGUUGUAAAGCUCUUUCGGCCGGGAAGAAAUCGCACAGGUUAAUACCCUGUGUGGAUGACGGUACCGGAAUAAGAAGCACCGGCUAACUACGUG
rnacentral:rRNA from 1 species